AUGGACGCCGAUAAGGUGGCGGCCGUCUCCGCCUGGCCAACGCCUCACUCGCCGCGGGCUCUCCGCGGGUUCCUCGGACUCGCCGGCUACUACCGGAAAUUUAUCCGGGAGUUCGGACUCAUCGCGGCACCCCUCACGCGGCUGCUUCGCCACGACGCCUUCGCUUGGGACGACAAGGUGACAGCGGCGUUCGAGGCCCUCAAGGGGGCCCUCACGACAGGCCCCGCCCUCCAGAUGCCCGACUUCGACCGCCCGUUCGUGGUGGACUGUGACGCCUCGGGCGCCGGGUUCGGCGCCGUACUUCAUCAGGGAGAUGGGCCUCUUGCUUUCUUCAGCCGACCCUUCGCUCCGCGCCAUCUUAAGUUGGCAGCCUACGAGCGGGAGCUCAUUGGCCUCGUCCAGGCCGUGCGUCAUUGGCGGCCAUACUUGUGGGGACGGACCUUCCACAUUCGCACAGACCACUACAGUCUGAAGUUCUUGCUGGAUCAACGCCUGUCAACCGUGCCGCAGCACCAGUGGAUCAGCAAGCUCUUCGGCUUCGACUUCUCCGUCGAGUAUCGGCCGGGCCGUCUUAACACGGUGGCCGACGCGCUAUCCCGUCGCGAUUCCGACCUCGCGCCGACCGCCGACUCGACCGCCGGGACGGUCCUGUGCAUCCGCUCCGGGCCUUCAUUCAGUCUCUUCGCCGACAUUCGACGCGCCACUGAGACGGCAGAUGAUGCCGCCCUACUACAGCAGCAGCUAGCGGCUGGCACCUUGGAGGAGCCUUGGCGCUUCUCUGACGGACUGUUCCUCCAUGGGCGCCGGAUCUUUGUUCCGGCGCAUGAUGAUCUCCGCCACCAGGUGUUACAGCUCGCCCACUCGACCGACCAUGAGGGUGUGCAGAAAACCCUCCAUCGUCUUCGCGCCGACUUCUACAUCCCUGGCGAUCGUGCCCUGGUCCGCGACUGGGUUCGAUCUUGUCAGACUUGCCAGCGCAAUAAGACGGAGACCCUGAGGCCGGCGGGGCUCCUUCAGCCCUUGGAAGUGCCAUCUCAGGUUUGGGCUGAUAUUUCCAUGGACUUCAUCGAGGGCCUUCCCAAGGUUGGGGGCAAGUCGGUCAUCCUCACGGUGGUUGAUCGCUUCUCUAAGUACGCCCACUUCAUCGCGCUCGGCCAUCCGUACACGGCGGCGUCCGUGGCCCGGGCCUUCUUCGACGGCAUUGUCCGUCUCCAUGGGUUCCCGACUUCGAUCAUCAGUGAUCGGGACCCAGUCUUCACAGGCCAUGUCUGGCGCGACCUCUUCAGGAUGGCGGGUGUCCAGCUCUGCCUCAGUACGGCGUUCCAUCCUCAGACGGACGGUCAGUCCGAGGUGGUUAACAAGGUCAUUGCUAUGUAUUUGCGUUGUGUGACAGGUGAUCGGCCUCGCGCAUGGGUGGACUGGCUCUCUUGGGCGGAGUUCUGCUACAACACUUCUUAUCACUCCGCCCUGCGCGCGACGCCAUUUGAGGUGGUCUAUGGUCGCCCACCCCCGCCUAUACUUCCGGUCGACCCGGAGACGACUCGGACGGUGGCUGCAGGUGACCUUAUCCGCACCCGUGAUGAGAUGCUAGCGGAGGUCCGUCAGCGCCUACUUCAGGCCCAGCAGACGGCCAAGCACUACUACGACGAUCAUCAUCGCGAGGCGGAGUUCGCCGUGGGCGACUGGGUGUGGCUGCGUCUUCUCCACCGCUCUACGCAGUCACUGGACCCGCGCGCGAAGCGCAAGCUUGGCCCUCGAUACGCCGGGCCCUUCCCUGUCGUGGAGCGCAUCGGGAAGGUGGCCUAUCGUCUUCAGCUUCCAGCCCGCGCCCGCAUCCACGACGUGUUCCAUGUGGGGCUGCUCAAGCCUUUCCGUGGCGAGCCACCAGCAGCUCCUCCGGCGCUUCCUCCAACCGCCGAGGGUCGCAUUCUUCCAGAGCCAGCAAAGGUGUUGCAGGCCCAGCUCUGUCGUGGUGUCUGGUUCAUUCUAAUUCAGUGGGCGGGCCUUCCGGAGGAGGAGGCUACUUGGGAACAGCGUGAAGAUUUCCUUCAACACUAUCCAGACUUUCAGCUCGAGGACGAGCUGUUUGCGCAGGCGGGGAGAGAUGUUAUGACCGGCUUGGUCUAUACUAGGAAGAGGCCCACAGGGCAUUAG
rnacentral:rRNA from 1 species